CCUACGGGAGGUAGCAGUGAGGAAUAUUGGUCAAUGGACGAGAGUCUGAACCAGCCAAGUAGCGUGAAGGAUGUCUGCCCUAUGGGUUGUAAACUUCUUUUAUAUGGGAAUAAAACGUUCCACGUGUGGGAUUUUGUAUGUACCAUAUGAAUAAGGAUCGGCUAACUCCGUGCCAGCAGCCGCGGUAAUACGGAGGAUCCGAGCGUUAUCCGGAUUUAUUGGGUUUAAAGGGAGCGUAGGUGGAUUGUUAAGUCAGUUGUGAAAGUUUGCGGCUCAACCGUAAAAUUGAAGUUGAAACUGGCAGUCUUGAGUACAGUAGAGGUGGGCGGAAUUCGUGGUGUAGCGGUGAAAUGCUUAGAUAUCACGAAGAACUCCGAUUGCGAAGGCAGUUCACUGGACUGCAACUGACACUGAGGCUCGAAAGUGUGGGUAUCAAACAGGAUUAGAUACCCGAGUAGUC
rnacentral:rRNA from 1 species